AGAGUGAAUGAUUCUACAGUGUUCUUUUGGGCGGUUUCUGGCACUUUGCUGACUCUUGGAUGUAGCUGCCCUUCCACACCCAGAGUGUCAGUUCUCGUUUAGGGCUCAGGGCGCUCCUGCUUCCUUUCAGAAACCACUUCUCCUUUCACACUCUCCCCCACCCCUGCACACACACGUGCUCACGCCCAGGCUCACACACACCUCCACGCUCACUGCCCGCUCUCCUGCAAGGGGCUGUUUGCACAGUGUUUAUUCGGGUGGAAAGAGAGAGGAGACAGCUGGCCGACCGCCGCUGCCUGGGUCUGCCUUGCUCUGCUCCCCGUGCUGUCUCCACAGAGCUCGGAAACAGUUAACCCUUGAAGAGCGGGCUGGGCAAUUCUCCGGCCUCUGACAGCUUUCUUUGGGGUGAAGCACAGAGGUAUUUCUGUGGCCUCUUACUGGCUGGAAAUACCGUCUGGGUCCUUCUGGGCUCAUUCGUGGUGCCUUCCUCGCCUUCCGGGCCUGUGUUGGGCGACGCUUCUGCUGGUUUUGAAUAAGAAUAUGCCGAGUCUUGGGUUCUGAGUCAGACAGUGGCAGAGUCGGGGCUGGAGACGGGUGACCCGGCAAACUCAGCUGCCUUCAGUUUCUCCCCUGAACAAGGAGGGCUACAACCCCUGCCUCCUGCGCAGAGGGCACGUACACAUUGACGGGGCUGGGACCGCAGCUGCUCCAUCCUGGACAGCCCCGCUGCGUUGCAACGCUCCCUCACAUGGCUCAGGGCCGUCCCCACGUCUGGCUCGGCUGCUGGGAGGUGCUGCCUCUUCGUGCCUCCUGUUGCCAGACAGGAUGGAGAAACAUCUACCUGGCUUUUUUAAGACAACAACCCCAUGAGGGCGAUGUUCCCGUGUUCCCAUUUCGCAGAUGAGAGCACAGUGGCUCCCAGAGGGUAGGAGUCUUCCCAAAGGUGACUUGGCCAGGGGGCCCCAGAGCCGGCCGUUACGUGCCCUGAGCAUUGGGGACUGUGCCAGCAAGAGGAACAAGAGUCGGCCACGUUCAUUACCAGAAUUUACCAGAAUCAGGGUGACGGGGUUGGAAUCACAGAGCGGGAUGCUGGGAGGCUCCAGGCCGGCCAGAGAUUGUGUAACUGUGCUUUCUGGAGCCCAGCCAGGCCGCAAAACAAACAGAAGGGCUGGAAGCAGAAACCUCACAAAAACUGCCCGCAGAAACCAGCGAUUUAGGCAAUCGAGGAGUUUUUCUUUCGCUGUUUAUUAUAAAUCACCAGUGGUAAUUAAGCGCCCAUCAGAGCGGCUUGCUGGCUGGACAUCUCAGACCAGAUCGCCUCCUCUUAAGAUGUAGGGGGUCCUGUAAGUGCCGGUUCAAAUGGACCACCCUGUAUGGAGUCACACAGACGAGCAUCACGGAACUGCCUUUGGUGAGGAGAACAAAGAGCACCUUUCCGCGGGGUUCUAGAAUGCGAGAGCUCGGAGGUGAGGAGUGUGCUGGAAAGAGGGCAGAUCCACACGGGGGAAGCAGUGGGCACCACCCGCCCUGGUCCCCACCCGUCCUGCUCGGGUCUCCUCGGUGCAGCAUCCGGGCGCAGAGCCAGGCCGCCCGGGAGUGGGUGGACAGAGUCUGGGAGACAGCCAUCCGGGAGGCUGAGUUCUCGGCGGGCCUGACACCUAGAGAUGCUGAUCCACGGCGCAGGCAGGACACGGAGCAGAGAAGGUGAUGUGGGCGCCACUCUGGUCUGAAAUAGAGUUGAAUGUCUACCUCGGGUCACGCAGUGUUCCAGGUGCUGGGGAUACAAUGGCGAGUGAAAUAGACCCCGUCCCCUACCCCUUGCAGCCUAGACUCUAAUAAGCCGUGUGAGACACAGCGAGAAGUCUGCGACCUGGAAGAGGGCCCUCACGCAAGCAUGCUGCCACCCUGAUCUCGGACUUCCCAGCCUGCAGAGCUGUGAGAAAUAAAUAUCUGUUGUUGACAAGCCACCUACUCCAUGGCAUUUUUGUGAUGGCUGCCUGAAUGGCCUAAGUGGCUUAAAAACAAGACCAUUUAUUUUGCUGACAGGUCCACAGGCCAAGUAGGGGGUGGGCACCGCUCACCUCCAUGCUGCUGAGUGUGACGUGGGGCAGACUGGAGGCUACGAGCUUGCACCACCCCAGGGCUCGCUGACUCACUCGUCUGAGGUCUGGGCCGGGCUGAUCCAGACAGGAGGGGCUGGAGCGCUGAGGCCCCGGAAGGCCGCUUGCUCGCUCUCUGAUCUCCCCGUGUGCGUUCUCCAGGGGCAGCUUCAGUGCGGCUGGACUCUUACGCGUUGACUCGCGGUGACUCAGGACCGUGUCCUGAGACGAUAGAGCCCAGCUGGAAGCAGCACCCCUUUCCUGACUGGCCUUAGAAGCCGUACUGUGUCACUUCCCUUGCAGUCACAGGCCUGCCCGGAUUCCGGGGGAGGGGACAUGGACCCCAGCUCUCAGUGGAGGAAUGUCACCUCACAUGCUAAGAUCAUGCUGAACAGGAUACAUCCAAGGCGCCGUCUUUGGAAAAUACAAUUUGCCACAGUCCGCUCUCUGACCAGGAAAUUCACAUCCCUUCCAUGUGUAAUGACGUGAUCCCCUGCACCAAGAUCCCCAAAGCUCACCCUCGCAUGGUGUGGUGUCAGUUUUGGGCUCCAGGUUCAGGACACAUACCCACACACCAAAGAGAGGAUGUCUUCCCCAGAUACCCAACAUGCAGUGAUGGGCAGGCCUAGGGUAAGUGCUAUGGAGUCUUGUGUUGGUCAGAGCCACUAGGCUGUACAUAUUUAUACAGAGAGAGAGAGAUUUAUGUCCACGUGUUGGCUUGUGUGAUUGUGGGAGCUGGCAAGUCUGAAAUCUGGCAGGUGGGCUGCCAGGCGGGAGACCCAGGCAACAGCUCAUGCUGGAGCUCGAGUCGGAAGGCCGUCUGUCUGGAAUUCUCUCUACCUGGGAGGACCUCAGUGUUAGACUGGAUGAGGCCCACGCGCAAUAGGGAGGGCAAUCUGCCUCACUCCAAGUCUACCGAUUUAAAUGUUAAUCUCUGCUAAAAAAUACCCUCACAACAACAUGUAGACUGUUGUUUGAGCAAUUAUCUGGGUACCAUGGCCCAGCCAAGCUGACAUAUAUAAUUAAGCAUCACAACCCUCCUGUUCAAAAGGGGAAUGUGGAAGGCACUCAGUGGUCUCUGGCCCGUGGCAACCCCGGAUUGCAGUCCGGCUCAAGUUGGCAGUUCCUUGAUGGGGCUUGGUUGUAAUUCCUGGGAAUGACUUUCCAUUGCUCUUGGCUCUGCCUUCUGGAUUCCUGGAUCUGCUCUCCAAGUCAUCCUUCCUUUUCCAUAAGACAUGCCUGGUGUUUGCAGCCGAGUGGUUUUCUCUGCCUGCUUCCUGUUUUCAUUUUGCGCUGUCUCUGUCCCAUUUAGUCCAAGCUGGCAUUGUUUCUUCCUGUAUAAUUAUCUUAAAAGCCUUGUGGGUUUUUUAUGGAUCUAUUGGGAUUCAUGCCAUUAGACAAAAGCUACACCCACAAAUCUCAUUAACAUAAGUCCUUUCUCUACUUUAGACUUCCUGCAAGGCUGCUGUGAAAAAAUGUCCUUAAAUUCCUGAAGUUCUAUUAUUUAUUGAUGAGCAUCUGCCAGGCAUGCCCUUAAGAUCCUCAGGGGGCCUUUUGUCUGGCCCUUCUCUGCAGCACCCUGUCAGGCAUUGAUGAGGUCUUAGGCGAUCUGAUUGUGCCUCCUGGGUUUGAUCUGUGCUCUGAAGCCCUUUCUUAAUCUGGCAAUCGUGGAGAGGCUGGGAAAAAGAACCAGUUUUAAUUUUGAACCCAGCAAGGCCCGGUUUCUUUAUAUUUGCUCCAAGUCUCACUUGAGAACCGAACGAUUCCUUUUUCAGAUCUUCUCUCUCCUCUCUCAUUUUAUCACGUCAUCGAGAAAAGGCUCACAGGCAGGAUGCCCAAGAGCCCGCCUGGAAAUCUCCACGAGAUCCAGUCCGUUCAGUCCAGUCGUGUUCUCUGCUUUAGUGCAGGCCCCAGUGCUGCCAGGCUCUCUGCUGCUCCAUCCCAAGGGCCCGGGAACCCUGUCCUCGCUUCCCUCUUCCGUCUGUCACGGACUCCUCAAGGCCAUUCUGACUGUGCCUGCUGCCCAGCUGGGAAGCCACUGCACGUGUCGGUUUCCGUUAUGGCAGCACCCCAAUUCCAGGUGGGGUGCAUAACCAAUCAUUCCAAAACGUGCUGGCUUAAAGCAACAGUUUAUUUUGGUCACACAUCUGCAAUCUGGGCAGGCUUUGCAGGAACAGUCGCUCAGAGUCAGUUGAGAAAAGCUCACAGGCUCUUCUGAAACCCGGGCCGCACACGCAAAGAGCGGGGCAUCGCUCAUCGUCUCUGUGGUCUCUCCAGCUGGGCACUCUGGUGCCACCCGAUCUCUUACGUGUUGGCACAGGGAAUCCAAGCUGCGGGUCCUCACACAGGAAGACAGCCAGGAGGAGGCUGCACUGCCACGUUCCACGGCCUCACUUCACCACAGCCGCAGGCCUCUUGGUUCAUGAAGACUGGAUAUACAUCCCGACACUCUGGGGGAGUGAACAUCUUGUGAGAGGAGCAGACCAUCGGGCUGGACCAGUGGGGCCACCCCAGAAACUACCUCGUGCCACGGCCCCGCACAACCCGGCCAUCACCCCUCAGCUCCUGUUCCUCCUUGCUGUCCACGAGCCAGCGGGGACUGAAGCCGCUCUCUGGGUGUGGCAUGUGCGGCCCUCAGCGUUGUCUCCUGCCUCCUCCCAUCAGGUCUGCUUGUCCUGUCCAUCUCAGCAGAAGCUUUGCUCCCUCCGACGAGCUUCCCUUCAGGUAUGGGGGUCACUGGCCUGUUAUCCUCCCACCUUCCACGGUAUAUCUCAGGUUUUUGGUCAUUCACGCCAUCACGGAUAAUAGCGAAGGCCGCCGUCGUCUUCCCUAGGCCAGAAUCUCCACGAGGGCAGGUUCUGCGCCUGUCCCGUGCACGGCGCAUCCCAGUGUCUGGCACCGUGCGUCUGUGUGGAGCAUUCACUGGGGCUCGGUGGCCGAUUUAUUAAGAAACCUUCAGCUUACAGCACCUCCUACAAAAGGCAGGCAUCCCCACCAUGGGACCCUUACCUCCAGGGUUCCUCGUGUCCUGCUCGCUCUUGUCUCCUUGGCCUGGAAGUGUGCCUAGCAGAUAGCGGGCUCUUGUUACCUGUUUGUUGAAUGACUGAAUAAGUUCCUCAAUGAGACAGAAGCCUGAGUGAUAAAGGGCUCUGGGCAGCUCAGUUCUAGAGGUUGUGUCCACCAAAAGGCCUGUGGCUUCCCAGUCCCUGGUGGAUGGAGAUUCCGUGGCAUAGGGGCGCUCACCUCCCUGGUCCUUGGGCCAGGGAAGACAGGUGUGCGUGUGGCGUUACGUCCCAGGGUCAGAGAGCAAAUAUGAACCACGACUGGAGCGACAGGCUCGCGCAUCAGUUUCAGUGACGGCUUGGCCGUUUAUUCAUUCUGUCACUUGGCACAAGCCGCUCCGGUGCGCAAACUCCCGCUCUUCCGAGAGGAGAAGGAAAUCACUCGUUGAUUGAAUAAGGAAGUACGAUUAAACAUUUUGAGCCAUAUAUAAUCAUUUUGAUGUCGAAGUCAAGAUAUAAAAUAAAGAACAAUAUCUUCAUUUCUUUUGUGUCAGACAGACAGCACCACGGUUCACUUUUAAUGCGAGCAUUCCUCCCAUUCACUGUAUUCAUGAGACCUGAUGCAAGGCUUGGUGUUUUGGGGAGAACGUUGAGAUAAAGAUGAGGCCCUAUUUGUGUGCCACACGGAAUGAGGGGAAGCACCAGUGGGAAGCUUUUCCGGGGAACUGGGGCAGCUGCGGCCUCUUGCUCAUGUCAUGGUGCCCCCAAGGGCCCCCCCGGGCAUCAUGAGAGGUUGCAAUCGGGGAUCUCAGGCUGCUUCCACGUGGCCCCAGGAGUGGGUUUGUGGUGGCCUUGGGGCCUUGUGACAUGAUCUGUGUGAACUGAGAGGCUCUUGUCGCUGCCGUGGAGCCCCCGACAGCCAGAGGUGACGUUGGAUAGCAAACAGGAUGAGCACAGAGGCAUGGGCAGCAUCUUUGCACGUGUCCUGUUUAUUGCCAUGUCCGGGAGGCAGCAGCAGGAGCAGACACACAUCAGAGAGCUGUCAGCGUGACGUCGACAGUCUACCCAGCCUGACCACCAGAAGGGCAUCUACUGUGUCUUCUGCUGUGUCAUGGAAUUUGUAGAAAUCUUUACCAAUUGUUGGAUCUUACAUUUGUUCUUCGUCUGUUUCAUAUUUCUGGAAUUGAGAUAGCGCAGUGUAGUAAAAAAGGGGCCACCGGGAUCCUGGUUCUAAGUAAGUAUCAACACUAAUUAGCUGUGUGACCUUGAGCAGGUCGCUUAACCUCUCUGGGUGUUAAUUUCAUCCUGUUUUUGUGACAGGCGGGGGAAGGAUGCUCUCUCCAGCCUCUUUCAACUCCAACGUUCUGAGUUUGGGGAAGGAUUCUGGGGCUGGUCAAACCCGAGACUGCGGACACACUGAGAUACAGCAGGUUUUGAAUGGCAACAAUUUUUUCUUCAAACCUAUAACCUAAAUCAGGCCCAGGAUUUAGCUCAAUUUGAUUUUUAAAAUUGAUGCUUCACUUUCAGGACUCUGUGCCUAAUAGCCUGCAGAUAUGAGGGGGCCUUGGUUUUACCAUAUUUUUCUACUGAGCACUCCUCUUUUUGGGGCCCAACUAAACCACACACAUGCAGACAUACACGUGAAUGUGCACACAUGUACACACACAUGUGCAUGGAUAUACACACAGGCACCAGAGAGACGUGUAUAUGUAUGAUUUUUUUUAUUCUAACAGUAAUACAUGUUGAAUAUAGAUUUAAUUUGAAGAUACCAAAAUUAUGAAAAAAGAAAUCACUCCUAUUCUCACUAUCAACAUGUCUUUUAAACUUUUUGGUAUUUUUCUCAGGGUUUUUUUUCCCAUGUUUUCCCCCGUGUGUGUGUAUAUACAGACACACACACACCCACACCUCUCUCUCUCUCUUUUUAAAUGGCGUGUGCUAUUUUGUGACGUGGUCUUUAAAUUAUUGUUUGGUUGAAGCCUUUUCACACAUCCUUAGAAACAUUGGGAAGGUGGUUUUUAACGACUGUGUAUGAAUAUAAUGUAAUUUAUUGAUCAGGCGCCUUGCGUCCUGUUCCAACAUCUUGUGAAUGAGAAGGCUCUGGACAGCGUGUGUGUCCUUGAGUGCCUGGAGACAUCCCUGGUUUUCCAGGAGUGGGGCCCGGGUCUGAGUCGCUGAGCACUUGAUGCUCUGGGUGAGGCUGGGUUUCGACAGGGUGACCAGAUUGUCUAAUGAGCGUGUCCCCCGAGAGCUCGUGUGUGCAGAGUGCACCCUGUGGAGUCUCGAGGCACCGCCAGCAUGCGUAGGAGACCACACGCUUGUGAGUGAAGGAGGCCCAGGAGGUGCAGUUUGAUAAAGCGUUGUGUUCUUGCGCUCUGAGUGGUACCCAAAGUGUGUCCUAGAGUCCAUGGAAGCUUCUGGAAACAUCAAAGCUCCUGGAGGAGCUGCUGUUGCUGAGGGCUGAGCUGUGAGGGGCAGGGCUGCUCCCCAGAGACCCCCCCAAAGGGAAAGGGGCCGGCAGCCAAAGCAGGCUGCGUGGUGAGAGGAGGCCCAGCACGGACAGCAGGAGCGCCCUUCGGCUCCUCUGUGAGGUGUCCGUCUACCUCGGUGAGGACAUGCCGUCAGCAGCACAUCGGAACGGAGAUGGAGCUGUGCUGAGGUUCUGCACAGAGACGACGGGACCAGGCCUGCCAGACCCCGUCGCUGCCUGGUUUCAUUGCUUCAAAACCGCCCUGUGCACCCAGGGAGUUUCCACCUCUUCGUGGAACUUCAAACCCUGGACAGACGGCCCGGGAGAUGCUGUCCGGCUGCCUCACCACCAUACACACAAGUCACAGUCUUCCCUGAGCUUUAACUUAGGUGGCUGACUGCGGGAUUUGCCAAAGUAGGAGCAUCGUUUUCUAGAAGAAUCAUUUUUGUGAGACUGAAGUGUCUGCUCACAUCCUGAACUCACCACAGCCAUUAAUUCCUAACCCACAUUUUAGGAACAAAAUGCAAUAAAAAUCAAUAUGGUGGUGACCUUCAUCUGUAAACCAUAUUUAGUCAGAUGUUAAAAGAGUUUGCAGAGACAGCAAAUAAUAACACAAAGCUUCCUCAGAUUCAGUCUCAGAUACAGUUACAAACAUUUAGUUUUGACAUCCACUCUCAUACCGGCCCUGUCAGGACCAUCCUGAUGUGGAAGGUCUGUUUUCUGGCUCACAUUGGUGAACCCAGACUUGUCAGAAUAUUGGUCUUGAUUUCUGCUUCAAAAAUAAUGGCUAAAAUACCACCACCGAUAACCGAUCAAUGAUCAUUUCGUCCACCCGCCUUUCCCAUUGAGUCAUCCUCAUUGGUUAAGAACACGCCACCAUGAGUCGAGUUUGGAUACAUUCCAUCGUCUUUCUCCCUCAUCUCUCCGCCAGCCUCUCUCAUCCAUGCCAGGCGUCUCCUCUCCGGGCAUCAGAAGGGGAGGCGCCCUUCUGCACGGCUGUAAUUAUAUGAACCAGACCGCAGGUUUUUCCUGGUCCUAAAGCGGUUCAUGCUUGUUGCUCAGUAACUGCUAGGCCUGGAGAGGAGGUACGAGUUAAAUAACAGUGUCUUUUUGAGAACUGUGCUGACGUGUUGACGGUGCAGGUUCAGUGGGGGAGGAAAGAUGGCACUCGUUUUGUUAGGUCUUAACCAAACUGAAACAGAACAGAAGUUGGAGAGGAGGGUUUCUCCAAUAUUUUCAAUUUAUACCAACAAUGGUAUAUUAACUAGUGAGAUUAAUGGAAAGACACUGGGUUGGGGUAUCUGCUUGUUUCUAAUUCAGCUCUGUGAGCACCUGGUGUCUGAUCUUGGCCUAGGCUCCCUCGUAUAAAACCAAGAGCUUAGAACUGUAAAAAUUACAAAGUGUGAGUUUUUAUAUAAAUUCCCCAUAUUUCAAUUUGACUAGAACUUUAAGCAUCCUGAAUAAGUUCCUCAACUACCCCAGCACUAAGAAUAAAGAAACAAGAGUAUGAUGACCUAGGGGUUAACUCCACUUCUUUAUGUUUAAGGAUAUUUGGCCUAUUAGUUUUCGGUAGUGGGCCAGAUUAACUAUUUAAUUGAUAAACACUGGUAGCUACUUAAACUUACAGAAUGAUAUUUUAAAUUGCAAAUUGUAAAAUAUCUCAAAUACUAUAAACAAUGUGAUCAACGAAAUGCUCAUGUAUCCCAGUAAGAUUUAAUACCUGUUAUUAUUUGCCAUUUAUGCUUUAAAUCUUUAAGAAACUGAAUGAUACAGUGCAGGGGAAGCUGGGGGAAGUCCUCCCUUCCUUCUUCAGAAGCAACUUCUUUACCAGAAUUCAUGCCUGUCCUUUUCACACUUCCAUAAACAACAUAGAGUAUCUUUUUCAUGUUUAAAAACGUACAUAUAUGGUCUUAUACAGUAUCUUUCUGCAAACUACAAACUUUCAAAAAUUCAAAAUUGUAUCCGAAACAUAUUCAUAUUGAUACAUGUCGAUCUAGUUCAUUCAUUUUAACGUGGGUGGUCGUUUGGGCAAUGAUACAAAACCAGUCUAAAAGUAGUUUAAUCCGUUCUUUUUGUACAAAAGGACGCAAGACUGGUCACGUUACUGUCCUCUCAUCUUCACAAACCAUCAGUGGGUUCCCAGUAUAAUUAAGGUGACAAGACUCCGUGGGCCUGGCCCCAGGUCCUGCUGACCCCACAGGGCUCCUGAGUCCGUCAGCCUCCUUCAGCUCCUGGAACUGGUCAACCUUGUCCCCAUGGGAAGGACGUCGUCCUGCUGUCUCUUCUACCCCCAUUAUCUGGCGAACUCCCUCUCUUCUCUCGGGUUUCAGCAUACACUCAUGUUCUCAGAGGAGUCUUACCUGAUCCCAGAGUGGAAAUCUGGUCCUCCGUCCUCAUCUCUCGGGAUCUGGUUCCCACUUCCUUCACAGCACUCACCCUAGUUUGUAACCCGCUAGAAUUCGUGUCGUGGCUUAAGUCUUGCCUUUCUCACUAGACCACAUGCUCGGGGCGGGGCUGGGACCGAGUCUGGUUGAUUCCUUGCUCCUUCUUAGUGCCUGGCACCCUUCCUGGUACAUCAUAGGUGUUCCAUAUAUAUCCAUGCAAUAAAUGAGCAAAUGAGUGAAUAUUGUUAAUUAUCAACAUUGAGGUGUCCAUGGGAAUUCAACAGAUUGAACCAUUGUGGAAAAUUGUGGGAUUUAUUUAGCCCAGGAAAUCUCUCAUUUCUGACUCCAGCUUUCCAUCACCAGUAGGACACUCAGCUUUGACUUCAGUGGAUGCAUAAAACAGAUUUAUUUUAUUUACUUUUUCUUUCCUUUUUUUGAGGAAGAUUAGCCCUGAGCUAACAUCUGCUGCCAA